GAGCUGAGCGGACAGACUCAGACGCUGCCACCUGAUCCCAUCCAGGCGCAGCAAAGCAAGCUAUCGGCAUUCUGCGUUCAGAGCCCCCGUUGCCCUAAGACCCGGCAGAUUUCAGGACAAGGGGCACAGGGGGAGCGGAGGGUAGCCCUGACCCAAGUCGGAGACAGAGCCUGCCUGCGUGAGUACUGCAGUAGCCAGCCCGGGGCUGGAGGGAACAAGGGUGCACUGCAAAGAGGAUGGGGGCCUGGGCAGUUGCAGAAGAGUAUCUUCGGGGCCUUGUGCCAAGAGAGCUUGAGGGGGUGGCUCCGGACCCUCAGGAAGCUGGCAAGGGGUUGAAUCUGGCCAAUUGCUUAUAGUGACCAGAUCUCUGGAUGAAAUUGUGGGAAUGUGGGGCGCGGUGGGGGUGGGAGUGGGUAGUAAUGGAGAAAGGAGAAUGAAGAGAAUUAAGAGGCAGGGAUGAAAGCGUGUAGGGGGUGGGAUGACAGAGAGAGGAGACUCGGGAAACCUUGUGCAGGGAGCAGAAGGGAUGGAAAGAUAUUCGAUCUCCUAGGCUCUAUUGUGCUUCCCACCCUCUCUGCCCUUUUCUGUUUGGGGACUUGCGUGACCUGAGAUAUGCCAUGCCCCAAGACAGCUUAAGUCUCCACAUCACUGAGAGGACAAGUCUCAGUGGUCAGGCCCGGGAUCCACUCCUCCAAGAGCAUCAGUAUCAGUCCCGUAGCUCUGAGGGGAGAGUGAGAAAGAUAUCUUUUGGGAUUAGGGUGGACAUCUGGGUUAGCUUUCAAAUCUCUGGCUGGCAAUUCCAUUUCUUCUUUGGUUCCCUGGAGAAAAGAAAGCAAUUUACAAAACUGGGCAGCAGCCUGAGGUAGAUUAUUCUGACUAAAAUUAGCACUGCUAUUCUGAUAAGGCUGGCACCCUGACCUGCUGGGUAUGGUGAGGAGACCUCUUUCCAAAGAAAAGAAUAUGUGAAGCCUCUGUAGGCGGCACGCACACCAGCAGCGUGGGCACACCAGCAGCGUGGCCACCCAUUUGCUUCAGCCUCAAGACCAGAGGGAAACUCAGCCCAGGGAACUCCUCCAGGCCCCCACUGCUAAGUCCUUCUAUACAACAGGCAUGGCCUGACCCAGGGAAUGCAGGCCUACCUACUCUAGUAGCCAAAUGUUACUCUCUAUCUGGACCUGGGAUGGUUUCUCUGGUUGGAUGCCCACAUAUAGGACACAGAAUUCUUGCUUUCAAAUACCUGAAUCUGUCAUGAAGAAAAAAAUCUGCCCUGUGCUCUGAAGAGUGACAUAGCUACAACACAGAAUAAGAAGCCAGGGCAAGAGCCGGGCAAUGGUGGAGCAUGCUUUUAAUCCCAGCACUUGGGAGGUGGAUUUCUGAGUUCAAGGCCAGCUUGGUCCUCAGAGUGAGUUCCAGGACAGCCAGGGCUAUACAGAGAAACCUUGUCUC
rnacentral:lncRNA from 1 species